GAUGAACGCUGGCGGCGUGCCUAAUACAUGCAAGUCGAGCGAACAGAUGAGGAGCUUGCUCCUCUGACGUUAGCGGCGGACGGGUGAGUAACACGUGGAUAACCUACCUAUAAGACUGGGAUAACUUCGGGAAACCGGAGAUAAUACCGGAUAAUAUAUUGAACCGCAUGGUUCAAUAGUGAAAGACGGUUUUGCCGUCUCUUAUAGAUGGAUCCGCGCCGCAUUAGCUAGUUGGUAAGGUAACGGCUUACCAAGGCAACGAUGCGUAGCCGACCUGAGAGGGUGAUCGGCCACACUGGAACUGAGACACGGUCCAGACUCCUACGGGAGGCAGCAGUAGGGAAUCUUCCACAAUGGGCGAAAGCCUGACGGAGCAACGCCGCGUGGGUGAUGAAGGUCUUCGGAUCGUAAAACUCUGUUAUUAGGGAAGAACAAAUGUGUAAGUAACUAUGCACGUCUUGACGGUACCUAAUCAAAAAGCCACGGCUAACUACGUG
rnacentral:rRNA from 1 species